GGACUAUGCUUUACUAUGGAGCAGAAACACUCCGUGGGCUUCUCAUAGUGUACCCAUGCCAGAGUAAAUUGCAGCCUCGAACCAUUGCCCAGCCUCCUUACCUGUGGGCUGUCAGCACUGAAGAGGGUUGUACAGUA
rnacentral:snoRNA from 1 species